GGGAACCGGUUUUCCUUUACUGGUAAGGAACGUCGUCGUCCUACCACGAGAAAAGGAUAGUGGCGAAACGGGUGAGUAACACGUGGGUAACCUGCCCAUAAGAGGGGGGAUAACAUCCGGAAACGGGUGCUAAUACCGCAUAGUUUUUCUUGAUCGCAUGAUCGGGAAAGGAAAGACGGCCUUUGUGCUGUCGCUUAUGGAUGGACCCGCGGCGUAUUAGUUAGUUGGUGAGGUAACGGCUCACCAAGACGAUGAUACGUAGCCGACCUGAGAGGGUGAUCGGCCACAUUGGGACUGAGACACGGCCCAAACUCCUACGGGAGGCAGCAGUAGGGAAUCUUCCGCAAUGGACGAAAGUCUGACGGAGCAACGCCGCGUGAGUGAAAGAAGGUUUUCGGAUCGUAAAACUCUGUUGUCAGAGAAGAACAAGUUGGAGAGUAACUGCUCCAGCCUUGACGGUAUCUGACCAGAAAGCCACGGCUAACUACGUGCCAGCCGCCGC
rnacentral:rRNA from 1 species